GUUCGCUUUGGCAGCACAUAUACUAAAAUUGAAAUGAUACAGAGAAAAUUAGCAUGGCCCCUAUACAAGGACAACGAGCAAAUUCAUGAAGUGUUCCACGUUUAA